rnacentral:tRNA from 1 species
UCUAAUAGCUCAGUUGGUAGAGCUUACGACUGUUAAUCGUAUGGGCGUUGGUUCGAAUCCAAUUUAGGAAGA